rnacentral:rRNA from 1 species
UACGUAGGGUGCAAGCGUUGUCCGGAAUUAUUGGGCGUAAAGAGCUCGUAGGUGGCCUGUCGCGUCGGCUGUGAAAACUCGGGGCUCAACUCCGAGCUUGCAGUCGAUACGGGCAGGCUAGAGUUCGGCAGGGGGGACUGGAAUUCCUGGUGUAGCGGUGAAAUGCGUAGAUAUCAAGUGGAACACCAGUGGCGAAGGCGAGUCUCUGGACAUUUCCUGACGCUGAGGCACGAAAGCCAGGGGAGCAAACGGG